UUAGGUCUCAUGGCAUCUCAAGGUGUCAACAUUGCAGCCAGUGGGCUGAGGGAAAUACAGCCUUAUUUUGUAGCAAUUAAAGAGCUACUCAGCUUUUAUAGCUUCGCAAAAAAACAUUAGCAGCACUGAAGCUCCAAAGCAAUAUGGUAAAUGAGAUGUACAAAGUAUUCAUAACUUGUAAAUUUCAAACUUUUGUGUUGUAGCUGCACAUUUUAGUCAUUUUUUUAAGGAUCUAUGUGAUAGAUCACUUGAAAGGGCUGCAUAGGUUUGAAGAGGAAAUACAUCAUUUCCGGAACAUGGACAUUUUUGUCUAUUCUUUGCAAAAUAGCUCAACCUCAAAUAGAAUUGAAGUCAUCUGUGAACAUGUUAUAGGUUUAGCUUUCAGUUAGGUAUAAGUCUGCUUUGUCUGGGCCAUUCUAACACAUGAACAUGCUUUGAUUUAAACUGUUUUAGGUAAUCUCACUGAAAGGACAUGAUGCUUCCACCGUUAUGUUUUACUCCAGGGAUGAUGUCCUUAAUGUGAUGUUUAAGAGUAACUUUUCUGCCACAUGGUGCUUUUCCUUUAAUGACCUGUCUGCUGUGUUCCCUGGUUUUCAUUAUGCUAUUUUUCUCUGAUUUUGAACAAACCUCUAAGGCCAUCAAAUGUAUUUAUGUUAGAAUUAAAUAGCAAAAACAAGGAUCCUGUUUUAAUAAACCAGGGAACUUCUGCUUCCCACAGUUUGGCGCUGACCCAAACAUCGGGAAGCACUGGCCUAAUUGAAAAAGUGCGUGAUUAUUUACGUGCUCCAAAACAGCAAUCGACCUCUUCUGCAGCUGUAUUUAAGACUGGAGCGCAGUGCAGCUCCGAGUUCGGCUGCUGUAAUGUGGCGAAUUAGCUUCAUGUUAGAGACCCCGGCUGACCCCCAUUAUACAGUCAGGGACACAUUUAAUUAGCGGCAGCUCACGUGAAACGACAAAAUGUAUUAAUAUUAAUGGAGGUUUAAUUGAGGUCGCUUUGGUCCCCCGUUGAGGCUUUCAACCUCUAAAAUGGCUGACGUGUGAUAGCGCGAGCAGAGAGAGCCCAGAGCCCAGGCUCGCCAUUUCGUAUGUGACCCCGGAGAAGAUGACAACCAUCUCCCAUAAUUCAUCUGAAGAUGUCACCUUCCUGACAAAUGAACAGGAGCCAUGGGCAGUGUGUGUGUGUGUGCGCGCGCGCGCGUGUGUGUGUGAUGGUGCUGCAGGCAAUUUAGUUAUACUUGUGAGGACUCACUGCGACGAUUUGGCCCGUCCUCGUAGGGACGCAGCUGACUUUCAAGUUAGUUUACUGUGUGUGUUCAAGCAUCUAUACGUGGGCUAUCCACAUGUUCAUGUAAAUAUGAAGGUCAUGCCUAGAAGGAUAAUUAAUGUUGCUGCAUUUUUUAUAUAUAUAUAUAUAUAUAAUUUUAAGUCAAAUCUUGGAACUGCUCCCUCUGGAGGAUCAACUGUCCAAUUUAAUUUAGGCUACAGAGCGAGUAAAUGGAAACUCAACAGCCAUGUCUUUGCACCCUGGGACACAGUCUCCAUACCUUUCUUCUUCUCCUUUUUUUUUAAAUCAAGACAAUGCAACAGGUUGGCAAGGGGCCUGUCAUAUGUCACCAAUCUCCCCCAGAGGGACUGUCUGCAGAACAUGUUGAGCAGACUUCAGGAAAGGAUUAACAAGAAGAUCACAGCAAUCCUGGCCCAGCACUUUGUUUAGCAGGCUUCCUCCUUUGGAUGCCCUGAGAGAACCAAGGAAUGCACAGGGAGAACAUGUAAACUCCAUGCAGAAAGACUUCAAGCCGGGAUUCAAACCCAGGACCUUCUUGCAGCAAGGCAUCAUAUCUAAUAUUCCACAUUGGUAGCCUAAUAGUUAGACAUAGCUCUUUAUUUAGGUUGAAAACCUAAAUCAUCAUGCUCGUACCCCAUCCCUGUUGCGUCCAGUCAAUCCAGGGUUGGAUGGAUCCGUACAUGUUUAGCCCAAGACAGCCUGGGUGAGAAAAAUCAAUUGGAUUGUUUUCGACCCAGCAGUUUUUAGAGUGUAGUCAGAGAGCAGAGAGGCAUCAGCUUAUUGAAAGUAAAGUGAACCAUGAGACAGUUAAUUUCCACUGUUUGUGCUUCAGAACAUACAGACUAAGAAACAAUUUAUCUAAAUCAGUAGUGUGGGAUAAGAUUGCAGGACCUUCUUUUCCUUUCAAAUGCCAAUUGUUUGACUUUUGGCAUUUAAAGGUCAAAUAUUAAAAGUAUGAGAAUUAAAUUUGUCUUUAUGAGGUU